UGAACGCUGGCGGCAUGCUUUACACAUGCAAGUCGCACGGCAGCGCGGGCUUCGGCCUGGCGGCGAGUGGCGAACGGGUGAGUAAUGCAUCGGAACGUGCCCAGUAGUGGGGGAUAGCCCGGCGAAAGCCGGAUUAAUACCGCAUACGACCUGAGGGUGAAAGCGGGGGACCGAAAGGCCUCGCGCUAUUGGAGCGGCCGAUGUCGGAUUAGCUAGUUGGUGGGGUAAAGGCUUACCAAGGCGACGAUCCGUAGCUGGUCUGAGAGGACGACCAGCCACACUGGGACUGAGACACGGCCCAGACUCCUACGGGAGGCAGCAGUGGGGAAUUUUGGACAAUGGGGGCAACCCUGAUCCAGCCAUGCCGCGUGCGGGAAGAAGGCCUUCGGGUUGUAAACCGCUUUUGUUCGGGAAGAAAUCCUCUGGGCUAAUACCCCGGGGGGAUGACGGUACCGGAAGAAUAAGCACCGGCUAACUACGUG
rnacentral:rRNA from 1 species